GCCGUAGAGCGCCUCGGAUUCGAGGCGCUCGUCACCGGCGACCCGGCCGCCAUCCUGGCGGCGGACGCCGUCGUGCUGCCCGGCGUCGGCGCCU
rnacentral:tRNA from 1 species